rnacentral:lncRNA from 1 species
GACAAGACAGUGUCUGUCACGCCCCGCCCCGAAACCACUACCAAUUUGGCACGAUUCGGCUGCGGCGACGGACCGCCAAGCGGACAGCACCUCUCCUGUCCGCCCAAGGCUCAACAACAGGAAUGUGUACCAGAAUUUACCCAGGACUUUAAAUUCUAAACAUACACAUUCAACGAGGGCACCAACAGUGCCAACAACAAGAAGAGCAAGUAAUCCAUAAGAUAUACGAGUGAAAUAAAGAGAGUACUUUACUAACUAUUACAACAGUUGCAUUCUUUACAUUUACAUCAUUUUCCAAAAUGAAUACAUUCGAUCCUCAAAAUACAUAGCUCUCCAACCUCACCUACAUAAAUCUCUCUCAAUACAUAGGUGUGCUAAUGCAAAAGGAAAGCUACUAUACUACCACGGCCUCACUGAUCGGGCGCGAUGCCCUUGCCGCGGUCCUCCCUCGACAAUCCUGAACCUACCACUGGAAAUAGAGUGGGGUGAGAACUAUCUUCCAUAGUUCCCAGUGGGCUCGGCCGCCGACUCUGCCGAUCUCCCCACUAGGUCCAAGUGGGCACAAGUAACAACAGAUAGAUAGAUAGAUAUGUAUCUGAAAGCUGUAAAUGCAGUAGUAGGAAAA